rnacentral:lncRNA from 1 species
GGGGUAGGCACUGUUAUUUCCAUUCACAGAUAAGCAAAGUGAGGCUCGGAGGGCGGGGACUUGCCCAAAGCCACAAGGAUGAAAGGACUUUUCCAGUUGCUACCAGACUACGCACUGUCGCCUGAUGGUUAAGAACUGAAGCUUUAGCCGUGCGCGGUGGCUCACGCCUGUAAUCCCAGCACUUUAGGAGGCAGAGGCGUGUGGAUCACCUGAGGUCACGAGUUCGAGACCAGCUUGACCAACAAGCUGGCAUAUCCGAAUGGGCUGAGCUACCGGAUUAAGAGGGACACCCCAAAGCCCCCAUUGCUGGGUUAUUGCUCCAGAGCCAAUGUUCUUGGGGAAAGGAAGAUAUGCCCUUUGUCAACAUUGCCACUGCUGGUCUGUAAACUCCUAGACGGCCAGCUGGUGGUUCACAAACCAGGACUCCUUGCUCUGGCCCUACCCCUACCUACCAGAAUGACCGUGAACCCUUCCCCACUCACUCCUACAACCAGGUUUCCAUCUCCUCUCUCAGCUUAGGUUUCCCUAACUGUAAAAUAAAAGGGUUGGACUAGGUUAAGGACUUCCUGCUAUUUCUCUCUCCCACACUCUAAGGUUCCUUAGGAAUGCUUCAGAAAACAGCAGGGGUUGGGGCAAGGAUGCCGCUUGAGUCCCAGAGCAACUCCAAUUUCAUAGGCACAUAAAUUUAUGUGAAAGUAAAAAAAAAAAAAAAAAAAAAAAAAAAAAAA